rnacentral:rRNA from 1 species
UGCUACACAUGCAGUCGAGCGGGGUAUAUUUUUCGAAAUAUACUUAGCGGCGGACGGGUGAGUAACGCGUGAAUAAUCUGCCCUGUACAAAGGAAUAGCCUCGGGAAACCGGGAUUAAAACCAUAUGACACUUUAGUAUCGCAUGAUACAUAAGCUAAAUUGAUUAAGAGGUAUAGGAUGAGUUCGCGUCUGAUUAGCUAGUUGGUAAGGUAAAAGCUUACCAAGGCGACGAUCAGUAGCCGGCCUGAGAGGGUGAACGGCCACACUGGAACUGAGACACGGUCCAGACUCCUACGGGAGGCAGCAGUGGGGAAUAUUGCACAAUGGAGGAAACUCUGAUGCAGCGACGCCGCGUGAGUGAAGAAGGUCUUCGGAUCGUAAAACUCUGUCCUUGGUGAAGAAAAAAAUGACGGUAGCCAAGGAGGAAGCCCCGGCUAACUACGUGCCAGCAGCCGCGGUAAUACGUAGGGGGCGAGCGUUGUCCGGAUUUACUGGGCGUAAAGGGUGAGUAGGCGGUAAUAUGUGUCAGAUGUAAAAGGCGUAGGCUCAACCUAUGUUAGCAUUUGAAACUGUAUUACUUGAGUGCAGGAGAGGUAAGUGGAAUUCCUAGUGUAGCGGUGAAAUGCGUAGAUAUUAGGAGGAACACCAGUGGCGAAGGCGACUUACUGGACUGUAACUGACGCUGAGUCACGAAAGCGUGGGUAGCAAACAGGAUUAGAUACCCUGGUAGUCCACGCUGUAAACGAUGAGUGCUAGGUGUUGGCCAGCGAUGGUCAGUGCCGAAGUUAACACAAUAAGCACUCCGCC